UACGUAGGUGGCAAGCGUUAUCCGGAUUUAUUGGGUUUAAAGGGUGCGUAGGCGGCCCGGUAAGUUAGAGGUGAAAGCCCGUGGCUCAACCACGGAAUUGCCUCUGAUACUGUCGGGCUAGAGAAUAGUUGCUGUGGGCGGAAUGUGUAGUGUAGCGGUGAAAUGCAUAGAUAUUACACAGAACACCGAUUGCGAAGGCAGCUUACUAAUCCAUCAUUGACGCUGAGGCACGAAAGCGUGGGGAUCAAACAGGAUUAGAUA
rnacentral:rRNA from 1 species